rnacentral:lncRNA from 1 species
UCAGUCUUCACAAUUACCAAGAUUGAAAAGGACAUAACUCAAUGAAUAGCAGUUGACUAAUCCACCAACAAUGGUCAGGAAAAGGGCUUGGAACCCCAAGAGCCAAGAUCAAUUAGCUAACUUGCUUUAGCUGAUCAGCUCAGAGAACCAUAAUAAAGAAAAUGAGGCUGUACAGAGAGAUGGGAUUUUCUUAAAGGGUGGUUGCCCCUCUCUGUUUAGCCGAUGAUUUUCUUAGUGAUCUUCAAUCUCCACAACGAACCCAAAAGAAAGAAAAAAAAAAAUUUCCAACAGCCCUUUCGUCUUUCUGAAACCCUGAGGAUGAUGUAUCUUCCAUGGAUUGCAGAGGAGUACAGUCUUCUGGGUUUCAACCAGAACGUAUGUUUUCUGUUCCUGUACGUAUCUUAAUUUGGUCCUCCUGCAUUCAGUGUAUACUAAACUUCCAGGUUAAACAACAACCAUUUUGGAUCUCGAAUUUUGAGGCUGUGACGAUGAUUUGAUUUCUCUGAGCAAAUAAACGUUAGGCAUCUGAGGUAAAAGUGGGCCGUAUCUUGGUUGGGCAACCCGGAUGGCAGCGGUCGGAAAUCUCAUUGCGGGUUUUUCCUGAUCUGCAUCUGCAACCGGUUUUUUUGCAGCCAUGGCGGUUCACGUCUCUUACUGCUUGACUUGUGGAUUUCUGAUCUGAGCCUCACAUAUAUAUAUAUAUAUUAAUAUAUACAUACAUACAUAUAUCUGUAUAUAUAUAUUUAUAUAUAUGGUCUUAGCUCAUGUCCCUUCAAACCUUCCUACGAGUAUUAUUAUGAUUUUUGCACCUCAGAAUAUUUUCCCUUUUUUUUCUUUAAGCUCAUCAAUUCAUA